rnacentral:rRNA from 1 species
UACAGAGGUCUCGAGCGUUGUUCGGAUUCAUUGGGCGUAAAGGGUGCGUAGGUGGCGCUGUAAGUCGGGUGUGAAAUCCUGAGGCUUAACCUAGGAACUGCAUUCGAUACUGCGGUGCUUGAGGACUGGAGAGGAGACUGGAAUUCAUGGUGUAGCAGUGAAAUGCGUAGAGAUCAUGAGGAAGACCAGUGGCGAAGGCGGGUCUCUGGACAGUUCCUGACACUGAGGCACGAAGGCCAGGGGAGCAAACGGG